rnacentral:rRNA from 1 species
GAUGAACGCUGGCGGCGUGCCUAAUACAUGCAAGUCGAGCGAACAGACGAGGAGCUUGCUCCUCUGACGUUAGCGGCGGACGGGUGAGUAACACGUGGAUAACCUACCUAUAAGACUGGGAUAACUUCGGGAAACCGGAGCUAAUACCGGAUAAUAUAUUGAACCGCAUGGUUCAAUAGUGAAAGACGGUUUUGCUGUCACUUAUAGAUGGAUCCGCGCCGCAUUAGCUAGUUGGUAAGGUAACGGCUUACCAAGGCAACGAUGCGUAGCCGACCUGAGAGGGUGAUCGGCCACACUGGAACUGAGAGACGGUCCAGACUCCUACGGGAGGCAGCAGUAGGGAAUCUUCCGAAAUGGGCGAAGGCCUGACGGAGCAACGCCGCGUGGGUGAUGAAGGUCUUCGGAUCGUAAAACUCUGUUAUUAGGGAAGAACAAAUGUGUAAGUAACUAUGCACGUCUUGACGGUACCUAAUCAGAAAGCCACGGCUAACUACGUG